GUGAGGGGAACAUGUAGCACCAUUCCUCAGAUAUAAAUAAGACAGGGUGGAAGCUGUGAGGAGCAGGAGAUGUGAAGAGAUAAGAGGACUCAUGUGGACUCAUAUGUGGGAACAUAUGACAGGAGAAACAAGCUUAAAGAAGUGAGGAGAUGCAGCAAGGAAAACUGGGAGAAAGAACAUGGCAGAAACACAAAAGAGAACACCAGAGGACAACUGUGAAGAGGCAGAGUUUUGGAGAAAAUUAAGAAGGAAGCAGAGAGAUACAGUGGAAAGGACACUGCUGGGCUCACAGCUGGAGGCACAGUUCUGCAAGGAGUUCCAUGACAUGAAGGCAAAUUCUUCUGAAAGAACUGGAGUCAUGGAUGACCCAUGCCAUAGCAGGGACACCCCUGAGUGGACUACAGCACAUGAAGUAACACAUACCAGUAUGCAGAAGCAAAGAAUAGAAGGUAAAACUUUGAGAAGAAUGAAAGUGAACAUGGAGUAUAUUUGCCAUUUUCAAAAGUGAGGUGUCUAUAACAGCACAGACUGUAAGGAAGAGGAAAAAGUAACUUUUUAAAAAUAUAUUUUAAGAACACUGUAAGAUUUUUAUUAAACAUUUAAUGACUAUUGAUUUUUGAAAUUACAAUAUCUGUCUAACAAGAACAGAGGGUUAAAAUGUGUUGUGACACUGAAUUUUGUGACUUUUGAAUUCCACAAGAAGCUGCUCAAGCACAUAUAUAGACAUAACAAUUUUAUAGAUAUAUAGACAUGACAAUUUUAUAGCUACUUCUGCUCAACACCUGGUAAACCAUACCUGUUUAUUUGCAUGUGAUCUUCUGAACUGUCAUAUCCUUCAUUUAGUGUAAUCUGUCUUAUCAUAAGAUAAAUUAUAUUCCAUGGAACAAUAUUAGCAUACAAUUCAUUUUCAAUAUUUACAACUGAAUAAUAUUCCCCAAGUUAAUUUUUCCCAAAUUAUUACCCAAAAUAUGUUAAUAUGUAUU
rnacentral:lncRNA from 1 species